rnacentral:lncRNA from 9 species
UCAAGUUAUAAACAUUUUGGAGUUAUUUAAUGAUUUUUUUUUUUUAACAGAAAUGGCCCAUUGCUUUCAUUAUACUGUACUAGCCCGUGGGAUUCAGCUUUUCAUUAUACUGUACUAGCCCGUGGGAUUCAGCUCCCUACAAAAUGCCAGCAAUGAUUUGGAAGAUGUGCAAGAAAUGUACCUUAAAAAUAGCAAAGACUCUGGACAAAUUGGAAGAAGUUACUCUUUCACGAUACCUGCUGGCUGAAUGUUGGCUGAAUUUCAGCUCCCACCCUCCUUCCAGACCUGGCAUCUUUGCCCACGACGAACACUGCUCAACUUUCCUUGGCUGCCAUAGGCUUUUGAGAACCCCGCUAUGUUUGCCCUUCAUCAAAGAGAAGGUGAAAUCUAUUUAUAACUAAUCAUUUUGGGCACAAGCACAGAAGCCAAUUUUUGUGAUGGUGAUCUGAUCUCUAAACAAGAAUCAGUGUUUCCUAAAUAAUGAUGAUAAUUUUGUGGAGUGAAAACUAAUUUAAUAAGCAACCAGUGUCUCCCUAAGAAGGGAAAGAAGGGAGAAUCACUGGAUGAAACACUGAUGUGUGUGAACUUGGAGAAUUAUAUCAUCAGUUGGUUAGAGAAAUAUUUUUUCAAACAGCUUCUGGGCAAAUGUGAUUUGCCCCACAGUCAAAAUCUUCCCUCCCUAUAGGAGUCAAGUUACAUAAACAAGGGUUAAUACUCAAUUUCAUUAUCAUCUGAACUGUUAUAAAAAUGGAAAGAUUGAGUUCUUUUGGUUGAUUUCUCCUUUUUGACAUAAGUAGAAAUUUAAUUUCACAAAAGUGUGGUUUUUGUGUAAGCAUUUCCUUUUCUACCAUAAUCCAGCCCAGAUGGGAAUAAAAGCAUUGAACAGAAAUGAAUUUUCCUUAAAACGGAAACUUUCCAUUUUAAAACUGCAAGUUGGGAAUUCCCGUCAUGCCUCAGUGGAAAGGAAUCUGACUAGUAUCCAUGAGGAGGUAGGUUCCAUCCCUGGCUUUGCUCAGUGGGUUAAUGAUCCAGCAUUGUGUGGUGCGGUGUAGGUCUCAGACACGGCUCAGAUCCCGAGUUGCUGUGGCUGUGGUGUAGGCUGGCAGCUGUAGCUCUGAUUUGACCCCUAGCCUGGGAACCUCCAUAUGCUGUGGGUGUGGCCCUAAAAAGACCAAAAAACAAACAAACAAACACAAAAAAACCCCCAAAAACCUGAAAGUUAAAAUCUUUCAAAAAUAAGAUGCACUUUAACUGAUUUUGUAAGAGGCUAUUAUGAAAGUAAGGUGUUAUAAAGAAAAUAUAGGGAAUAUAGGUUGUUAUCUCAAAAAGAACUUAUUUUGGUUUGGUUUGGUUUGGUUUUUGGUGGUCAGAUGUUGAUUUUGUUUGCCUUAAAAUUGUUUUCUUUCUUUGAACUUCCAUUUCCUCCUCCUUGAAAUGGCCUCGUAUGACCAUUUCACAUUGUUUCACAUUACACAUUGCACAUUAUUUCUUUGAUAUCUGCUUCUGUGUAGAUAUCACAGAGUUCCCGUCAUGGCUCAGCAAUAACAAACCCAGCUGGCAUCCAUGAGGACUCAGGUUCAAUCCCUGGCCUCUCCCAUUGGGUUGUGGAUCUGGCAUUGCAGUGAGCUGUGGUGUAGGUCGCAGACACGGCUCGGAUCCCACCUUGCUGUGACUGUGGCGUAGGCCGGCAGCUGUGGCUCUGAUUGGACCCCUAGCCUGGAAACUUCCAUAUGCCACAGGUGUGGCUCUAAAAAGCAAAAAAAUAAAAAAUUAAUAAGUAAACAAAAGUAGUGUUUAAUCAGCCCUACACAUUCUCUAAGACUCAAACUGCCACGAAGCGACUGUUGGAUCAAGGGAAACCCCAAAGAGACUGAUCUCUUGACCAAGGGGGAUGAGAGGGUAUCAAUUACAGGGGAAAGAAACAAAAGCUCCAAGUGCCAGCUUCAGGCAGGGAUUGGGAUGAGCAGGAGGAGCAGGCCAUUUGAAAGUGGUGUGGGUCUUCUGGAUGUUGAGGCUGGGGGACCCAUGCCUCCUGCAUCGCUCAGCUUGUGUGGAUGGUUGGGCAUGUGUGUUGCGCAUGUGCUCGCACACACAAUGAAAUAAUAAUAGUAUUUACCUUACAAGUUUGUGGUGAGUGUUGCUGAAACUUGGCCUCUGUCCACCAGUGCCGAACAGAAACAUGGAGACAGAGUUUUGGGUGAAGGAGAAAAAGACAGCUUUUAUUGCUUUGCCAGGCAAGGGAGGCCACAGCAGGCUACUGCCUUAAAGACUGUGCCCUCCUUGGGAAAGAAUUGGGGGAGUUUUAUAGUAAAAAGGAGCAAAACAAGAUUCUGGGUAAGAAUCAGGGUUAAGGGCAAAUACGCAUUCUUCUGUCUUGGGGGGAAUCUUUAGUCAUGGAGGUUGGGGGUGGAAAAUAGGGCAGAAACAUCAUGGAAAAGAAAGGGGUCAUGGUCAGGAAAUAGAAUGCUUAGAACUGAAAUUUCAGUAGUGGUACAAUUCCGGGACAUGACAAGGCCAAAACAGUGACAACGACUGGGUGACCAAUAGAAAAGGAAGAAAAGACAUUUAUUUGAUGGUAAGGAAGUCAAAGCCAAGCUGCAGGAUGUAUCAUCCAAAAUUUACCCCACUCACAAAUUCCAAAGGCUAAAAGAAAAUAAACAGGGUACUUGAAUCUCUAGAAACUGAACCCUUUAUCUCUCUAAACUCCAUCCCCAUCUUCCCUCAGUUGUGGUUAAUAUCUGCAUCCUGCCUCACCAUAGCCUUCCCACUAUGUUUUUGUUUCCAAAAGAAAUGAUAUGAAAGCAAAUUAUGGUCCUAUUAUCAGAUAUUAAUGCCUACUAGAAAGUGUUCUCCCCUAGUUUAUAAAAGAAAGUCUAUAUUUAAGAGAAGAUUAAACCCAGGCUGGAUUUGCUGAGUUUUAUUUUUUUUAUUUUUUUAUUUUUGUCUCUUCUAGGUCCACUCCCUCGGCAUGUGGAG